CCUACGGGGGGCAGCAGUAGGGAAUCUUCCACAAUGGGCGAAAGCCUGAUGGAGCAAUGCCGCGUGAGUGAAGAAGGUUUUCGGAUCGUAAAACUCUGUUGUUGAAGAAGAACAUGCGUGAGAGUAACUGUUCACGUACUGACGGUAUUCAACCAGAAAGCCACGGCUAACUACGUGCCAGCAGCCGCGGUAAUACGUAGGUGGCAAGCGUUGUCCGGAUUUAUUGGGCGUAAAGAGAAUGUAGGCGGUUUAUUAAGUUUGAAGUGAAAGCCCUCGGCUCAACCGAGGAAGUGCUUCGAAAACUGGUAAGCUUGAGUGCAGAAGAGGAAAGUGGAACUCCAUGUGUAGCGGUGGAAUGCGUAGAUAUAUGGAAGAACACCAGUGGCGAAGGCGGCUUUCUGGUCUGUAACUGACGCUGAGAUUCGAAAGCAUGGGUAGCA
rnacentral:rRNA from 1 species